GACGGAGGGUGCUAGCGUUGUUCGGAAUUACUGGGCGUAAAGGGCGCGUAGGCGGCUGCUCAAGUCGGGUGUGAAAGCCCGGGGCUCAACCCCGGAACGGCACCCGAGACUGGGCGCUCGAGACCGGGAGAGGUGGGUGGAAUACCCAGUGUAGAGGUGAAAUUCGUAGAUAUUGGGUGGAACACCGGUGGCGAAAGCGGCUCACUGGCCCGGUUCUGACGCUGAGGCGCGAAAGCGUGGGGAGCAAACAGG
rnacentral:rRNA from 1 species